AGUGAACGCUGGCGGUAGGCCUAACACAUGCAAGUCGAACGGCAGCACAGUAAGAGCUUGCUCUUACGGGUGGCGAGUGGCGGACGGGUGAGGAAUACAUCGGAAUCUACUUUUUCGUGGGGGAUCACGUAGGGAAACUUACGCUAAUACCGCAUCCGACCUACGGGUGAAAGCAGGGGAUCUUCGGACCUUGCGCGAUUGAAUGAGCCGAUGUCGGAUUAGCUAGUUGGCGGGGUAAAGGCCCACCAAGGCGACGAUCCGUAGCUGGUCUGAGAGGAUGAUCAGCCACACUGGAACUGAGACACGGUCCAGACUCCUACGGGAGGCAGCAGUGGGGAAUAUUGGACAAUGGGCGCAAGCCUGAUCCAGCCAUACCGCGUGGGUGAAGAAGGCCUUCGGGUUGUAAAGCCCUUUUGUUGGGAAAGAAAAGCAGCAGGUUAAUACCCCGCUGUUCUGACGGUACCCAAAGAAUAAGCACCGGCUAACUUCGUG
rnacentral:rRNA from 1 species